GAAGUUCUUAACCUGAUUCCUG
rnacentral:siRNA from 1 species